AGCGUCGUCGGUUAACCGGGUAAACCACUCGUCUCCAAAACGAGGACUGAUCGUUCGAGUCGAUCCGACGCUG
rnacentral:tRNA from 1 species